rnacentral:tRNA from 1 species
GGCCGAGUGGUUCAUGGACUACUGGAACGCGGACGGCUCCUUCGCCGAGAUGUGCGGCAACGGCGCCCGGGUGUUCGUCCGUUACCUCGUCGCCA